CCUGGUGAAAUUAGCGCUGUGGAACCACCCGAUCCCAUCCCGAACUCGGAAGUGAAACGCAGCUGCGCCGAUGGUAGUGUGGCUCAAGCCAUGCGAGAGUAGG
rnacentral:rRNA from 1 species